UUGAAUAUCGAGCAAAUAGGUUUUUAGGAACGUUUCGUUCUAAACUAAGAGGGAAGUUGGUGCAAGUCCAACACGGUCCCGCCACUGUAAACGAUGAGGAAGAUUAGUAUCGUCCACUGUGCGAGUUAGCAUGGGAAGGAUAAUCGACAAUGAUUCGUAAGUCAGGAGACCUGCCUAUUUGUCUUUAAGCUU
rnacentral:ncRNA from 2 species